UCUCUCCUUUAUCUGCUCCUCACGCUGAUCAUCUCUUCACUCAACACCAGAGUCCCAUCACACACGGACACCAUGCUGCCAGCGCUCUGCUCUCUCUUCACUGCUCUCUCAUGUGUCAGUGGUGUGACUGUGGUGACGCAGAAGCCUCCUGUUCUCACACUGACUCAGGGACAGACGGCCACCAUGGACUGUAAUCUGGGGACUGUUACUGAUAGUGCUGCACGCUUUUAUAAACAGGUUCCAGGAGGAGUUCCUCAGUAUGUUAUUGGGAAUUAUCAUGGCUGGAGCUCUCCUUCCUAUGGAUCUGGUUUCUCGUCUCCUAAAUUCACAUCAUCACACUCCUCUAAAUCAGAUUAUAAAUUAAUAAUCAGUAAUGUAGAGGUGGGAGAUUCAGCAUUGUAUUACUGUGGCACAUGGGACAGCUCUGCUAAAGAAAUAGCAGAGGAUUGAGUUCUACACACUGGACUGUAGCUAUGACUGGACCUUCAGUGUGAUUCCUGCUGAAAUCUCUCUUCAGAACUUCAUAAGACUUUCUCCAUGAUCUCUGGAGACACAAAACUGAUGCUGAAUCUAGAUGUUCAGUACAAUCUGUGUCCAACACU